rnacentral:piRNA from 1 species
UGAAGAUGGACAAAGUAAUGUUCUGCAAUC